GGAGAGGGAGAGGGAGAGGCCUGCGCCAAGUCAGCGCCCCGCCAUAGUGACAGUUUUGUGCCCUGAAUGAUGCAAGCAGUGGUUUGAGGGAGUCUGUUGGUCCUGUCAUGCAAGUUACGGCAUCCUUUGUGUUGUUAAUGAAGUGUUGGGGAGGCUAGUGUGAGUGUGUGUGUGUGUGUGUGUGUGUGUGUGUGUGUGUGUGUACUGCAAGCAAUGCUAUUGGUACAUCCACCCCCAGCCGUGACAUACCUGUGACGUGUGUGUAUAUGUGUGUGACGCUAACCUCUUGCUGUGUGUGUGUGUGUGUGUGUGUGUGUGUGUGGCCAGUGGGGAGACGCCACGUCACGGGUUGGCAGGCAGGAAACAAGAGUGGAUCAGUUUUGGCCUGGCUGUGAAGGUGAGCGGGUGGAGUGUCAGUACUGUUACUGGAUUUGUAUUAAUAUUACGUUUGCAAGACAAUUGAGCGGCAUAGUUUGUGUUGACACGGCUUAUUACCGCAGUCUGCACAGCGUCUGCAGUGUGGCAAGCCUUAUAAGUACAGUGUGUGUGUACUGACGUACCUUGUGUCCGCGCUUCCUCCGCCCCCCUGUCAGAUAUGGAGGGGUUGGGGAAAGGAUGCCGUGUCCCUGAGUCUGCCCCUGACUGGCCAGCUGACGCCCAUUGAUAUCUCCAUGGCCGUGGUGAGGCAGGAGAGGACUCAAGGAUGGAGAGCUUAGGAUACCACACGGAGGAGGGUGAAGGAGCCUUGGGGAAGCCUGAAGAAGGGGCAGUGAAGGAGGGAGGCCUGGAGGUGAAGGAAAUGCAGAAAAUUCCUCUAAUAGUGAGCGCUUCGCUGGUCAGACCAUCCCUCACUGAAUAUUUUGACCGAGGCUUCGAGAUACGAGAUGAGAAUCCGUUUUUUAGUAGUUUAAGCCAGUUUUAUGUGUUUUUGGGUGUUUGUAGAUUGUUUUUAUCUUGUUUUGAGUAUUUUUUUGGUUUGUGAAAGGAGGGAGAAAGCUUAAAUACAGUAAUAAUACCGAAAAAAAAGGCUUAAAUUGAGAGUUUUAAAGUUAUCUUAGCGUAUAUUAAGCUGUUUUAAAUGUUUUAAGUUACCAGAAGAGAGGAAGCUUAAAUUUAAUAUUAGGAUAAGGAAAAAGCUUAUUUCUUGCAUUAGGAAGAAAGGAAAGCUUAAUAUUGCCACCUCAUCCCCCCAGCCCCCAGUGAGCCAGGUGACCCCCUAGAACAACGCCAUCCUGCCUAUUUGUGGUGUGGCAGCCCAGAUCGUCCCCCCUCCCUCCCUCAUCCUCCUCCUCCUCUAGCAAAGAAGAGACGUUUAAUCAGCUAGUGGACAGGUUGUUGUUGUUGUUGUUAUUGUUGUUGUGGGGGUGGCGGUGGUAGUAGUGGCGGCGGUGGUUGUUCGUCUCUCUCUCUCUCUCUCUCUCUCUCUCUCUCUCUCUCUCUCUCUCUCUCUCUCUCUCUCUCUCUCUCUCUCAGGCGGUGGUGGGGGGACGGGAGGGCGUAGUCUCGAGGAGGCUGGCAGAGGUUAUGGAAGGGUCCUGGUAUGCUCCCUCUCCCUCACUCCCUCGCUCCCUCCUUGGGCUCUCUCCGGAACAAGUAGCGGCGUGGCUGGAAGUGGGCGGAAGUUUAGCAGGCUUCUCUAAGAUUGGGCUGGAAGUUAGCGGAAGAGGAGACGUGGCACAUGACAAGGCAAUACAGGGCUUACAGAGGGCAGGCGUGACUGGGCCCUGCCUCGCCGCCCUUGUCAACACCCUAGAGAGAAAUACGCUCACCUUGUAGAGAGGAUAUAUUUUCAUUUUCUUUCGUUGUAUAUAUAUUUUUUUUUAUUUAUUAUUAAAAGGAAUAUUUUCUUUUUUCUAUUUUUCGUUCGUUUUAUAAUGGAUUGUUUAAUUUUAUCUAUAUUUGUUUACAUUUUUUAUCAAUUUCUUUCGAUUUUAUAUUCAGUUUAUUUAUUUAUCAUUAUUUCUUAAGAUAAUUUCUUUAAUUUCUCUAUUUUUCGCUCGUUUUCAUAAUGGGAGUGUUCAAUUUUUAUAUAUUUUUCAAUCGUAAUUUAAUAUCUUAGACUUAAUAUCCAAUUUAUUGAUUUAUUAUUACUUCUAAGUGUGUGUAAGUACUUAAAAGUUUAAUUUAAUUAUUUAUUUAUUUAUUUUUAUUUUCCGUCCGUUUUUAUUAUAUUGGAAACUUAUAUCAUAUAUAUUCCAGUUUUGU